CAUGUUUCCUCUCUGCAGGUGAAUGCACCAAGGAAAGACUUACAGGUUCUUCUUUGUAUGUUUGUUUGUUUUGUUAGUUUAUUUUUAAGAAAAGAGAAAAAAAGUUUACCCAAGGCUGUGAAGAGGGUUCUGAAUGCUUAUCCCCCAGAUCUAAAAUUUCACUUAUCCUGAAGACCUCACUCCAUGAGAGAGAGUAGAUAUACUGACUCAGAGAACUUUUCCACCUCAGCAUUUGAGUCUUGGAGCAAAAUACCAACACAAGGCUGAAAAAAAAGCAUUGGCAGCCCCAGCCACAUGAAGAUCAGUUCUGUGCCUAUAUCACAUGGAGUGUUGAAGGCAAGAUGGUAUCUGCAGGCCUGAUGAUGGUGGGCUGGGUGCUGCCACAUACACAUCUCCACAAGUUGCCUCAGCAUUGCAGCAGGCUGCUGCCAGCCUGGCCCCUCAGUUAACAUUAUAAGACUUUCUGGAGAUAGCUCCUGAGAAAAUAAGCUGUACCUAACUUGAUCAUGUGGCAAUUUGUGCUGGUGGGCUUCUUGCUUUUCAUUUCAGACUAGAAGGCCUAGCUGUCCAGCUGGGCUGUAACACUGAUUGUUCUCCAGGGCUUCCAGAUCUUUCUGAAGUUACGAUGAAAAUAUAAAUUAGUUGCAAUUGUAGCUGGCUCCUCCCUACAAGGUGUAUUGUGAGGUGUCUGCGUUGGAUGCAUGGAAAUCUAGAGCAGAAAUGGACAAAGCCCCUGAGAACCAUCUCCCAGACAUUGAAGACAGAAGAAAAAUUCCUCAAACAAGAACGCUACCAUGGUACUUGAUUCUUAGCAGAAGUAUUAACGUUGCCUUUCUUGUUUGGUUUUCUCCUACCACUCAUAAAUGA